AACACCUCUUGGAUCCUGUGGUCUGACGGGGAAGACUGGGCGAAAGCAUGAGGAGGGUUUUUAAGGCUUUCAUUUUUGCCAAACUCAGCAGAAAAGUAUCCUGAAGGCAUAGUCAGCUCCAGUGGACACGUUAUUAUCAGUGUUCUACGAGAAAUGGAAAUACGAUUGUGCUUGACUGUCUCAAAACAUCUGAACCUGAGGAGCAGCGAGUUCUCCACAGAGAGCUUCAGGGUCACCUGGGAACACUCAGCCCAAGACGUGGUCCUCUACACUCACCUGGACCCCAACCAGAGGAGGAGCACUAAUGAGGUGGAGAUGAGAGGUCGAGACGCUGGAGGUCAAUUCGGAGUCUGAGGACCGCGUGGACAACAGUGGAUGCAUCAAUUCAGGCUAGGCUAAGUGUAGGCCUAAUGACAAUGGCAGAAUGUCAUCACAAUACACCUAGGUGUUUUGUAACAGGUGUCUCUUUCCAUUCAUCACAUUGCGGCUGCUCAGUGCACUGUUGGGGUUUGGUUGCUGAAACUAUUUAGUGAGUGGACGAAUGUUCGCAGAUAGCCUAUAGGAGCGCCUUUGUUAAGCGAUUGUUUGGCAGUCAGAUGAAAACCUCCUGACUGGUUGUGUUUAUUCCACAUUAAAAGGCAUAGGCGGCGUAUCCAUAAGGCUAGGGGAAGCUACGCUUUCACUAAAGUAAAUAUAAUUAAAUUGCUAAAAUUAUAUAGCCUAAUUAGCUUACUCCUGUCUAUACAGAAAUAAAUAAAAUCAUUGAAAAUCGGAUACUACACCAGAAAGCAUGAUUUGGCCUACAGUUGGAAGAGCCCGCAUGUUGGGCAGCACGUGCUGCAAAUACAAAAUAGAUUAUUGUUGAGAUGUGACUGUCAGUGAAAAGCAGAGACCCAGCAAUGCAUAUCAUAUUAUUUAUUUCAAUGAUUUCCUUAUAUGAACUGUAAGUCGGUAAAAUCUGUGAUAUUUUUUCAUCUUGUGUUUAUAUUUUUGUUCAGUAUAUAAUAAUGUUAUGGUAAAUUUAAGCAUUUUAUGAUUAUUCCUCGUGACUACUUGUUUUGUUCCACAGUUUGUCAUGGUUAUAAUAUCAGUAUGUGCAUGUAGUUUAGAGUUUCAAUUUUUAAUGUCAUGUGCACAAGUACAGUGAAAUGCCUUUCUUGCAAGCUCUAAACCCAACAAUGCAGUAAUCAAUAAUAAGAUGUAUAGAUGUUUGUGAUGAUAUUGUACACAGUAAGUGCCAGGAAAUGUGUGUGUGCAAUAUCAAGUAACCCAAUCCCACCCC
rnacentral:lncRNA from 1 species